UACGUAGGGUGCAAACGUUGUUCGGAAUCACUGGGCAUAAAGCGCGUGUAGGCGGCUUGGCAAGUCAGGUGUGAAAUCCCUCGGCCUAACCGAGGAACUGCACUUGAUACUGCUGAACUAGAGUGCAGAAGGGGAGAGCGGAAUUCCUGGUGUAGCGGUGAAAUGCGUAGAUAUCAGGAGGAACGCCGGUGGCGAAAGCGGCUCUCUGGUCUGCUACUGACGCUGAGGCGCGAAAGCUAGGGGAGCAAACGGG
rnacentral:rRNA from 1 species